rnacentral:rRNA from 2 species
GCACCUGAUUGAUUUUGGUCGCCAACGAGUGGCGGACGGGUGAGUAACACGUAGGUAACCUGCCCAGAAGCGGGGGACAACAUUUGGAAACAGAUGCUAAUACCGCAUAACAACGUUGUUCGCAUGAACAACGCUUAAAAGAUGGCUUCUCGCUAUCACUUCUGGAUGGACCUGCGGUGCAUUAGCUUGUUGGUGGGGUAACUGGCCUACCAAGGCGAUGAUGCAUAGCCGAGUUGAGAGACUGAUCGGCCACAAUGGGACUGAGACACGGCCCAUACUCCUACGGGAGGCAGCAGUAGGGAAUCUUCCACAAUGGGCGCAAGCCUGAUGGAGCAACACCGCGUGAGUGAAGAAGGGUUUCGGCUCGUAAAGCUCUGUUGUUAAAGAAGAACACGUAUGAGAUUAACUGUUCAUACGUUGACGGUAUUUAACCAGAAAGUCACGGCUAACUACGUGCCAGCAGCCGCGGUAAUACGUAGGUGGCAAGCGUUAUCCGGAUUAUUUGGGCGUAAAGGAGAGUGCAGGCGGUUUUUCUAA